UUUUAUGGAGAGUUUGAUCCUGGCUCAGGAUGAACGCUGGCGGCGUGCCUAAUACAUGCAAGUCGAGCGAACGGACGAGAAGCUUGCUUCUCUGAUGUUAGCGGCGGACGGGUGAGUAACACGUGGAUAACCUACCUAUAAGACUGGGAUAACUUCGGGAAACCGGAGCUAAUACCGGAUAAUAUUUUGAACCGCAUGGUUCAAAAGUGAAAGACGGUCUUGCUGUCACUUAUAGAUGGAUC
rnacentral:rRNA from 1 species